GUCAAUACAAGAGCCAUGUGUUUCUCAGUGAGCUGGGAUUGCCAUGGCAAUGGAGUGUGAUCAGUCACUGUGUGCAUCCUUUCACACACAUCAAUCAAUCAAUCAAUAAAGAAAUCAAUACAUGAGUGUUCUACCUUUUCUCCUGGCUUGUUAAAUAUUAGCAUGAUUGAAAUCAUGAAAACACACUCGUAGCAGUUCAAGGUACCUCUUGGAAAGGCCUGUGAAAGACAGUGAAGUAGAUGUUACAUUUAGAAGAGGAAGAAGCUGUCAAAAUGUGAACAAUGACAAGAACAAUGACAGGUCCAUUACUUGUACAGCAGCAGCAACACAUGGGAAGGUAUAACACUAGGGUUAGGGGUAGGGCACUACAUAUCCUUUAAUUCUCAAUAGGACUGAAAUAAUGACACAAACAGAAGCAUUAUUGUCAGUUUAGACAGACACACAGAUUAGACAGCAGUGAUAUACUGAGAGCUUUGACUGGGGGAAAAAUAGAAGAAAACAGUAAAAGUGGCCCAACCCUAUGAAGCCCCACUGGUGCUCACGGCUCAGAUCUCAUGUAACUGCCUGGGACAGGAUUUGUAUAAAGGAAGGUGCUUUGCAUACCUGUGCCUGCCUCACUGCUCUACACAACAGCUAGAAUAACUGCACUGCUCCAUUGCUCAGGGGUUUUAAAGCUGACAGUUGAGCCCUUUCACAGUCACUGAGACACACAGAGAGCAUGGCUUCACUGGGGCUCCUCCUCUGGACACUGGCACUCUUUGCUCAUGAAUCCAGCGGUCAGAUUGUCCUGACUCAGAGUCCCACAGUGGAGUCUGUCUCUAUAGGAGGGAGUGUCACUCUGAACUGCAGAUCCAGUAGCUCUGGUUUUACCAGCAGUCUAGCCUGGUAUGUGCAGAAACCCGGAGGAGCUCCUAAACUCCUCUUCUCUUCACUGAAUAGCCGAGUCUCUGGAGCUCCAGCUCCAUUCACUGACAGCAGCUCAAGAACAAACUUCAUGCUGCCCAUCAGUGGAGUCCAGGCUGAAGAUGCAGGAGAUUACUACUGUCAGCAGCACUAUAGCUUCCAUUAAUGUGACCUUUAAGAGACACACUGCAGAUAUUAACACUGACCACAAGAGGGAGCCAGAGCACCAUGCUGUCAUUAAUGUAAUAACACAGU